GAAAUGCGAUACGUAGUGUGAAUUGCAGAAUUCAGUGAACCAUCGAAUCUUUGAACGCACCUUGCGGCCGCCGGUAAUCCGGCGGCCAUGCCCGUCCGAGCGUCGUUUCGACCCUCGGGAGUUCUCCUCGCAAGAGAAGUUCUCCCGGCCUUGGGCCAGCGUGUUGCGCGGCCCGCAAACCAGCGGCGGCAGUACCGGCGAUGUCCUCUGUGCAGUAGAUUUAUAGAAAACUCGCAUUGGUCUCCGGUAAGGCUUGCCUUACAACCAACUUCUUUAGGUCGACCUCGGAUCGGGUAGGGAUACCCGCUAAACUUAA
rnacentral:misc_RNA from 1 species